AUCGAUGAAGAACGCAGCGAAAUGCGAUAAGUAAUGUGAAUUGCAGAAUUCAGUGAAUCAUCGAAUCUUUGAACGCAAAUUGCGCUCCUUGGUAUUCCGAGGAGCAUGCCUGUUUGAGUGUCAUGAAAUCAUCCACCUCUACUUUGGGCUUUUGUCCGGGGUUCUGGCUGGGAGUUGGGUGUUUGCCUGCGAGAGCUGGCUCACCUUAAAUGAAUUUCGGUCUGACUAGUGGCUAAUGGCCGGUUUGACUUGGCGUUAUAAGUUAUUUCGCUAAGGACAUCCUUCGGGGUGGCCGAUCAUGGACUCUGGUCUCGCUUCUAACGAGGCAACAUAUUUUGACAUCUGGCCUCAAAUCAGGUAGGACUACCCGCUGAACUUAAGCAUAUCAAUAAGCGGAGGAAAAGAAACUAACAAGGAUUCCCCUAGUAACGGCGAGUGAAGCGGGAAGAGCUCAAAUUUGAAAUCUGGUGGACUUCGUUCAUCCGAGUUGUAAUCUAUAGAAGUGUUUUCCGUGCUGGCUCAUGUACAAGUCCCUUGGAACAGGGCGUCAUAGAGGGUGAGAAUCCCGUACUUGACAUGAACCACCAGUGCUCUGUGAUACACUUUCAACGAGUCGAGUUGUUUGGGAAUGCAGCUCAAAAUGGGUGGUAAAUUCCAUCUAAAGCUAAAUAUUGGCGAGAGACCGAUAGCGAACAAGUACCGUGAGGGAAAGAUGAAAAGCACUUUGGAAAGAGAGUUAAACAGUAUGUGAAAUUGUUAAAAGGGAAACGAUUGAAGUCAGUCGUGCCUUGUGGACUCAGCCGGUUAUGCCGGUGUACUUCCACUUGGCGGGGUCAACAUCAGUUUUGCUCGCUGGAAAAGGUCACAAGGAAGGUAGCACUCUCGGGUGAACUUAUAGCCUUGUGUCAUAUACGGCGGGUGGGACUGAGGAACGCAGCAUGCCUUCGGGCCGGUCUUCGGACACGUACAUGCUUAGGAUGUUGACAUAAUGGCUUUAAACGACCCGUCUUGAAACACGG
rnacentral:rRNA from 1 species